GAUGAACGCUAGCGGCAGGCCUAACACAUGCAAGUCGAGGGGCAGCAUAUCACUUCGGUGAUGAUGGCGACCGGCGCACGGGUGAGUAUCGCGUUUGUAACCUACCCUUAACUGGGGGAUAGCCCGGAGAAAUCCGGAUUAAUACCCCAUAGUAUUUUAGCACGGCAUCGUGCUUUUAUUAAAGCUCCGGCGGUUAAGGAUGGGCAUGCGUGACAUUAGUUUGUUGGUGAGGUAACGGCUCACCAAGACUGCGAUGUCUAUGGGGUCUGAGAGGAUGAUCCCACACACUGGUACUGAGACACGGACCAGACUCCUACGGGAGGCAGCAGUGAGGAAUAUUGGUCAAUGGACGAAAGUCUGAACCAGCCAUGCCGCGUGCAGGAUGACGGCCUUAUGGGUUGUAAACUGCUUUUUUACAGGAAGAAAUCCUCACUACGUGUAGAGGGUUGACUGUACUGUACG
rnacentral:rRNA from 1 species